UAGGGAAUCUUGCGCAAUGGGCGAAAGCCUGACGCAGCAACGCCGCGUGGGGGAUGAAGGCUCUCGGGUUGUAAACCCCUUUCGACAGGGACGAAAUUGACGGUACCUGUGGAAGAAGCCCCGGCCAACUACGUGCCAGCAGCCGCGGUAAUACGUAGGGGGCGAGCGUUGUCCGGAUUUAUUGGGCGUAAAGAGCUCGUAGGCGGCUUGGCAAGUCGGGUGUGAAAACUCCAGGCUCAACCUGGAGACGCCACUCGAUACUGCCAUGGCUAGAGUCCGGUAGGGGACCACGGAAUUCCUGGUGUAGCGGUGAAAUGCGCAGAUAUCAGGAGGAACACCGGUGGCGAAGGCGGUGGUCUGGGCCGGAACUGACGCUGAGGAGCGAAAGCGUGGGGAGCGAACAGG
rnacentral:rRNA from 1 species